CAGUGAGGAAUAUUGGACAAUGGGCGCAAGCCUGAUCCAGCCAUGCCGCGUGCAGGAAGAAGCAUCUAUGGUGUGUAAACUGCUUUUGUACGGGAAGAAACACUCCCUCGUGAGGGAGCUUGACGGUACCGUAAGAAUAAGGAUCGGCUAACUCCGUGCCAGCAGCCGCGGUAAUACGGAGGAUCCAAGCGUUAUCCGGAAUCAUUGGGUUUAAAGGGUCCGUAGGCGGUUUUGUAAGUCAGUGGUGAAAUCUGGUCGCUCAACGAUCAAACGGCCAUUGAUACUGCAGAACUUGAAUGAUUGUGAAGUAACUAGAAUAUGUAGUGUAGCGGUGAAAUGCUUAGAUAUUACAUGGAAUACCAAUUGCGAAGGCAGGUUACUAACAAUUUAUUGACGCUGAUGGACGAAAGCGUGGGGAGCGAACAGGAUUAGA
rnacentral:rRNA from 1 species